rnacentral:rRNA from 1 species
CCUACGGGUGGCAGCAGUGAGGAAUAUUGGGCAAUGGACGAGAGUCUGAACCAGCCAAGUAGCGUGAAGGAUGACGGCCCUAUGGGUUGUAAACUUCUUUUAUAAAGGAAUAAAACGAGGCACGUGUGCCUGUUUGCAUGUACGGUAUGAAUAAGGAUCGGCUAACUCCGUGCCAGCAGCCGCGGUAAUACGGAGGAUCCGAGCGUUAUCCGGAUUUAUUGGGUUUAAAGGGAGCGUAGAGGGGUUGUUAAGUCAGUUGUGAAAGUUUGCGGCUCAACCGUAAAAUUGCAAUUGAUACUGGCAGUCUUGCGUACAGUUGCGGUAGGCGGAAUUCGUGGUGUAGCGGUGACAUGCUUAGCUUUCACG